GGGGUAUAGUUCUUUCGGGAACUAGAGACCGGCGCCCGGGUGCGUAACGCGUAUGCAACUUGCCCUACUGAAAAGGAUAGCCCUUCGAAAGGAGGAUUAAUACUUUAUAACAGAUUUAAUGGCAUCAUUAGAUUUUGAAAGAUUUAUCGCAGUAGGAUAGGCAUUCGUAAGAUUAGUUAGCUGGUGAGGUAACGGCUCACCAAGACGAUGAUCUUUAGGGGGCCUGAGAGGGUGAACCCCCACACUGGUACUGAGACACGGACCAGACUCCUACGGGAGGCAGCAGUGAGGAAUAUUGGACAAUGGGUGGAAGCCUGAUCCAGCCAUCCCGCGUGUAGGAUGACGGCCUUAUGGGUUGUAAACUACUUUUAUCUGGGGAUAAACCUACUUACGUGUAAGUAGCUGAAGGUACCAGAAGAAUNAGCACCGGCUAACUCCGUGCCAGCAGCCGCAGUAAUACGGANGGCGCAAGCGUUAUCCCGGAUUUAUUGGGGUUUAAAGGGNUCCNGUAGGCGGAUUANUCCAUCCAGUGGUGAAAUCUCAUAGCUUAACUAUGAAACUGCCAU
rnacentral:rRNA from 1 species